rnacentral:rRNA from 1 species
AACCAGCACCUCAAGUGGUCAGGAUGAUUAUUGGGUCUAAAGCAUCCGUAGCCGGCUCUGUAAGUUUUCGGUUAAAUCUGUACGCUCAACGUACAGGCUGCCGGGAAUACUGCAGAGCUAGGGAGUGGGAGAGGUAGACGGUACUCGGUAGGAAGGGGUAAAAUCCUUUGAUCUAUUGAUGACCACCUGUGGCGAAGGCGGUCUACCAGAACACGUCCGACGGUGAGGUACGAAAGCGUGGGUAGCGAACGGG